AUGGCCGACGCGGGUCAAAGUGCAAUAUCUGUUCUUAUUAGCUUAAUAUCUGAAACGGGUUGUAUUUGGACCUAAGAUAUUAAACUCAUUUUUGCAAGUUGGCGGAGUGCUUGAAGCCUGUUUCACCUCCGCUACAGGUCAGCCUGGUAUUGCUCUAUCUUCAGGAUUUUUGGUCUACGGACA